UGUAAAGGAAAUAAGUAAGGCCUAUCCUACAUAAGACAGCUCCUGUCCUAAAUAUUAAUAAGAAGAGAAGGUGUAGUUCAUCUGGAGUAGAAGGAUGAAGAAGAAAGAGAGGGGAUGUCUGAAGCCAGAGAUCCAUGUGGAGCAUAUUAUAGACUUAGUGUACAAAAACAUCCACCUCCAGGAUUCAAGCAAUUCUCCUGCCUCAGUGUACACCUCAGGAGGCCAGACACUUCUAAGAGCAAGAAAUAAGUUUGUCUUUUCCUCAGCUCAAUCCCCAAGGCUCAGUACAGUGGCCAGCCCUUGGUGAGCACAAAAUAAAUAUUUGUUGAGUAAAUGACUAAAUAUGCAAAUGAACAAAAAGUUAAGAAUCAUAAUAGGGAAUGAAAUAGUUUAUAAAAUUUUAAAUCUCAGCAGUUGUUAGCUAUUAUUUAUCAAAAUGUUCACUUAAAUUUAAAAUAACAUUAAAAAUGCUAGAUUAAAAACUUAAAUAUUGGACUCUGUUCAAAUGUCACUUUCUCAAUGAUGCCUUCUUUGACCAUCCUACAUAAAAUUGCACCUGAGUCAUUGCCUUGCCAUUAUGCUUCUUCUUUUCCUGGUGCUUGCAGAACAACUUGACUCUGUAUUUCAUAUAUUUCUUCUGUCUUCCCAACUUUAUGGAAGCUGUAUGAGAGCUAGGAUCCCAAUUUAUUACCAUUGCAUCCUCAGGGCCUAGAACAGUGCCUAACACAUGGUAGCAGCACAUUUAACUUUAAAUUUACCUUAUUAAAGGCUAAUGUUAAUGGAGAGUAAUCGCUGGGGUGAGGAUAGAAUAAUUUAAGACUUCUUAAAAAUAAGAAGUGUACCGGCUAUUAUGUAAAGUCUAGUGCUUUAAAAUGUUUAAAAAACAAUUAUUAUUAUUAUUGUUUAGAGACAGGGUCCUGCUGUAUCACCCAGGCUGGAGUGCAGUGGUGCAGUCACGUCUCACUGCAGCUCGACCUCCUGGGCUCAAGCAAUUCAUUCACCUCAGCCUCCUGAGUAGCUAGGACUACAGGUGUGUGCCGCCAUGCUAGACUAAUUUUUACUUAUUAUAUAUUUUUAUUUUUAUUUUUUUUGUAGAGACAGAGUCUCACUAUGCUGCCCAGAGUGAUCUUGAGCUUCUCAAGUGGUCCUUUCUCCUGCCUUGGCCUCCCAAAGUGGCAGGAUUACAGGCAUAAGCCACCAUGCCUGAAUUCCAGUGCUUUUUAAACCAGUUUGACCACAGUCUUACAAUAGGAAUGCAUUUUAUGUAGCAAUGUGGCACAUCCACUUGAAGUAAUACUUACCUUUUCUUUUGCAAGGUAAUACUUACCUUGCAAUGCUCUUUUCUUUUCCCUUCCAUUCUAGUUCAUUAAACAAAAAAAAAAGACUGGGAGCAGUGGCUCACACCUGUAAUCCCAAUACUUUGGGAGGCUGAGGUGGGCGGAUCACAGGAGGCCAGGAGUUCGAAGACCAGCCAGGCCAAUAUGGUGAAACCCCAUCUCUACUAAAAAUAACAAAAAUUAGCUGGGCGCGGUGGCGUGUCGCUGUAAUACCAGCUAUUCAGCAGGUUGAGGCAGGAGAAUCACUUGAACCGGAGAAGUGGAGGUUGCAGUGAGUUGAGAGCACGCCAUUGCACACCAGCCUGGGCAACAAGAGUGAAACUCCGUCUCAAAAAAAAAAAAAAAAAAAAGCCAGUCUGAUCCACUAACUUCAUGACUCACUAAUGGUCAUGAUCAUGAUUCACACUUUCAAAAGCACUGAUUUAAAGUGCUUUUACUUAAUAAAAUACCCAACUUAUGAAAACAAAAUAAUGACUGCCUUCCCUAUGACACCAUAAGUAUGUCCUGAAAGUUUUGCG
rnacentral:lncRNA from 1 species